rnacentral:rRNA from 1 species
UACGGGGGGAGCAAGCGUUGUUCGGAUUUACUGGGCGUAAAGGGCGCGUAGGCGGCCACCGCAAGUCAGUUGUGAAAUCUCUGGGCUUAACCCAGAACGGUCAGCUGAUACUGCGAGGCUAGAGUGCAGAAGGGGCAACUGGAAUUCUCGGUGUAGCGGUGAAAUGCGUAGAUAUCGAGAGGAACACCUGCGGCGAAGGCGGGUUGCUGGGCUGACACUGACGCUGACAGCGCGAAAGCUAGGGGAGCGAACAGG